GAAAGAUUCACUCACUUUUUAACAAUCCCACCAAAUAUUGUAGAUUAUGAUUGUAGGAGGCCUGUCUGAACUUAAUAUACAGAUUUCAUGCUGCUGUUAACUGUGUGAUUUCUGAUGGUUAUGUUUAAGAGGUUUGUAUUGAAAGUAUUUUGUGAUAGUUUAUGGUGGGUCACGUGAUUUGGGCGGUAUUAAUUGCUUAUUUGAGGCACCUGUUCAUGCAGUGUCAGUUGGAGUAGAGAGGACCGAUGUGUGGCUUUAUGUUUUGGGAUUGCUGAGUAUUUGGUUCUUUUGUGUGCUUUGCUUUAGAUUUGUUUCCCUUAGUUUUCUUUUGUUGCUAAACAUUUAAGUUCUUGGUGAAUCACUGUUUUGGAGAAGGCGGCACACAAGUAUUCAGGUCCAGUCUCACCUUCUCAGCAGCUUUUUGUUUGUUCCUGAAGUUGCUGAAAUCCAUCAAUGGAAGAAUCUCUACAUGGAGCAUGGCAUCAAGGAUGGAGCAGGAGUAAAGUCAGCAGAUAUGGAUCCAGACACGGAGCACCUCACAAGGAAGGCGCACACCCUCAUCAAGAGCUGCUCUAUGACCACAGAAUCUGAUUAGGAGAAGAAACUUUCUGGUGCCUACUCCCCUGGGUUCAGGUGAAGACUUGUUUUCAGAACUGAACGAGGAAGUUUAGGAAAACCAGCACAUGAUGUAGAGAAAUUUCAGCACUGUGGCUCAACAGGAGCAGGUCCUGCCUUACCUGAACACCUUUGUCAGUGAUGGAGCUUCCUGUUUGUAUCUAAACACUGGGUCAGUUAAAGAGGGUGGGGGAGUAAAGAAAGGCCACUUCCUCCCUUGUGUUGGUGUAGCUGAAGUCGUAGACGUCCAAUAUUUUCUCCUCUUGCCUUUGGUGCUGUUUAUCCGAUUAUAGUCUAUACCAAAAAUAUAGAUUAUUUUGGCAUGGGCAACCCACUCUUGUAGUUUUCUCUGAGCUCUGUGUCUCUGAAAAGUAAUGUUUCCAUUCUAAAGAAAUCCAGACUGUGUUACAGAUCUACUGACCUUGUAGGAAUUCUUUUCUUUCCACUGAACUACAUCUGCUAACCAUAUCAGUGUCCUGGAGGAAGCACGUAAAGGCUUUGAACAAGAAGCUUGACUUCAUGACAGGCUUCAUGCUUCUUUGUAGUUGGCAGGUGUAGACACUGCACCAGAUUUCUGAGUUUUAACAAAUUCAUGCAUUUCAAUAAUACUUGGGACUAGAAAAGGUGGCAGUCGAGAAACAGGCAGUGCUUCAUUUAACAAAGUCAAUAUUUAUAGCAGAAAAGAUGGAGGUUUAGAUCAUUGGCCUUAAAAUAUUUAUUAAAAACCCUGGACUAACCUCCAGCCAUAACAUGUUUGGCAUAAAAAUAUUAACAGUUGUAAUUAAGACAUGUGCACAAAGUCUUUCAAAUACAGCCUCUGUCAUGUCAAGAAACAUGAACAGAACAUUUAAAAUAGCCAUCAGAUAAAAUUCACAGCAAACCUGAUAUGCUGCCAGUGCCAGCUAGCUUCCAUGUUGGAAAAACACAGAUGUGGAAGUGCUUUAAAUUUCUCUGGAAACCACCAGCAUGUGGUUUCAAAAUCAGACCUCCACACAUCAUAUUUCUGCCAUGUUGUUUUUGAG
ensembl:lncRNA